rnacentral:piRNA from 1 species
UAGAUUCCGGAAGUUUCCUGGUGCUAUUC